rnacentral:rRNA from 1 species
GAUGAACGCUGGCGGCGUGCCUAAUACAUGCAAGUCGAGCGGACAGACGAGGAGCUUGCUCCUCUGACGUUAGCGGCGGACGGGUGAGUAACACGUGGAUAACCUACCUAUAAGACUGGGAUAACUUCGGGAAACCGGAGCUAAUACCGGAUAAUAUAUUGAACCGCAUGGUUCAAUAGUGAAAGACGGUUUUGCUGUCACUUAUAGAUGGAUCCGCGCCGCAUUAGCUAGUUGGUAAGGUAACGGCUUACCAAGGCAACGAUGCGUAGCCGACCUGAGAGGGUGGUCGGACACACUGGAACUGAGACACGGUCCAGACUCCUACGGGAGGCAGCAGUAGGGAAUCUUCCGCAAUGGGCGAAAGCUUGACGGAGCAACGCCGCGUGAGUGAUGAAGGUCUUCGGAUCGUAAAACUCUGUUAUUAGGGAAGAACAAAUGUGUAAGUAACUAGGCACGUCUUGACGGUACCUAAUCAGAAAGCCACGGCUAACUACGUG